AGAAUCAACGCUGGCGGCGUGCCUCAGACAUGCAAGUCGAACGCGAAAGCCCCCUUCGGGGGGCAAGUAGAGUGGCGCACGGGUGAGUAACACGUAGGUAAUCUACCUUUGGAUGGGGAAUAACAACCGGAAACGGUUGCUAAUACCGCAUAAUGCAGCGGCACCUAAUGGUGACAGUUGUUAAAGCGGGGGAUCGAAAGACCUCGCGUCUGAAGAGGAGCCUGCGGCGGAUUAGCUAGUUGGUAGGGUAACGGCCUACCAAGGCUACGAUCCGUAGCCGGCCUGAGAGGGCGGUCGGCCA
rnacentral:rRNA from 1 species